UUGGGAUAUUUCUGCAUUCCUUUUCUCAGGAGCUCAAUUUCUUCCUUUUCCCAAGGCUUCUCUUUCCUUUCAAAGCUGCUUAAUGGGACAGUUCCAUUCGAUAUACCAGUGUCAUUCUGUUGUAUAUUUUUCUUCUCAUCUCUUUUAUUGCUCUCAGAAUCAUGACUUGAUCCACUUGCAUCUCUGAGCACUUUUGCUUGCUCUAGCACGUCUUUACCCUCCAUCUUACCACAUAUAUUCCUCAGCUGCUCAAUAUCCAAUGACAAACAAAGAUUUUCCACAUCCUCCUCACCAAGAUCAAGCAAACGCUGGGACAAAAUAGUUGCUGAAAGUGUUCGAAGACGAGUUCGUUCUUUGCGCAGAAGUUUCUUCUCUUUCUCCUUCACCUUCUUCUGUUGUAAAGCAACUUCAGCAGCACGCCUUUCCUCCUCCUCUUUAAGGCGUUUCUCCUCUUCAGCAGCCCUUAAAGCUUCUUCCUCCUGCAACUUCUUUGCCAAAAUUUUGGCUUCUUUCUUUCUCUGCUUUUCAGCUUUUUCCUCUUCCUUUCUUCUCAAUAUUCUUGGAUCUCUUCUAUAAGCAUUGUCAACAAGAGUACGAAUCCGUGCAUAUUCUUCCUUCCUUGCCUUCUCUGUGAGUUUUGCAUUCUGCCUUUCCAUCCACCUCUUAUGUUCACGAGACUCAGCUUGCUCAAUAUCAAACUCAUCAGCAUGCGGGAAUUCUCUCCAGCUCUUAAAGCUAUACCAAAAAUCAUAAAAGCUUUCAACUUCUUUCAAAGAAGUGUUGUCAUCGCCAAGAGAUGGAAUUGGCUGGUUUACCGACCACCGUCCAUUUCUCAUAAAAGCAGGACCAAAAACCCUGAAGAAGUCCUGCAGUGCACAGUCAGUGGGAAUUUCAUCAUCAAACUCAUCUGUGGAGUCAUAAAUUCUUCUCUUUAGAGGAUCAAUCAAAACUUCAUAUGCUUCUUGGAUGGAUUUGAAGUGGCUCUCUAUUUCAUCCUUUUUUGCUUGUUUUGCAGCCUCAGUUUCCUCAGCAAGAAGAAGAGCAGCCUGUUUGUCAGGAUGAUAUUUCAAAGCAACCUCACGAUAGCUUUUUCUUAUCUGUUCUUCUGUGGCAAGAUAUCUCAAAUGGCCCAAACCUAACAAGGCAUAGUGAUCUUGUUGCUUAUCUCCAGUACCAGAUUUCUUUUUACCUUUGCUGCUAUAAGAAUCAUAUGAUGGUAUAUAUGCCUGUUCCUUUUCAUUGGACACUUUCUGAUCUUCACCAUCUGCAUCUUCCUCCUCACAGCCAAGAAGUUUGAGAGCAACAGCAUGAAAUGAGUGCCCAGCAGGUUCAAAUUUUAAAGCCUU
rnacentral:misc_RNA from 1 species